GGUUGUGGCUCAGUGGUAGAGCACUUGCCUAGCAUGUGUGAGACACUGGGUUUGAUUCUCAACACCA
rnacentral:tRNA from 1 species